rnacentral:rRNA from 1 species
AUUGAACGCUGGCGGCAUGCCUUACACAUGCAAGUCGAACGGCAGCACGGGAGCAAUCCUGGUGGCGAGUGGCGAACGGGUGAGUAAAGUAUCGGAACGUGCCCAGUCGUGGGGGAUAACGUAGCGAAAGUUACGCUAAUACCGCAUACGAUCUAUGGAUGAAAGCGGGGGAUCGCAAGACCUCGCGCGAUUGGAGCGGCCGAUAUCAGAUUAGGUAGUUGGUGGGGUAAAGGCUCACCAAGCCGACGAUCUGUAGCUGGUCUGAGAGGACGACCAGCCACACUGGGACUGAGACACGGCCCAGACUCCUACGGGAGGCAGCAGUGGGGAAUUUUGGACAAUGGGCGCAAGCCUGAUCCAGCCAUGCCGCGUGCAGGAUGAAGGCCUUCGGGUUGUAAACUGCUUUUGUACGGAACGAAAAGGUUUGGCUUAAUACGUUGAACUCAUGACGGUACCGUAAGAAUAA